rnacentral:rRNA from 1 species
AGUCGAACGGAGUGCUCAUGACAGAGGAUUCGUCCAAUGGAGUGAGUUACUUAGUGGCGGACGGGUGAGUAACGCGUGAGUAACCUGCCUUGGAGUGGGGAAUAACAGGUGGAAACAUCUGCUAAUACCGCAUGAUGCAGUUGGGUCGCAUGGCUCUGACUGCCAAAGAUUUAUCGCUCUGAGAUGGACUCGCGUCUGAUUAGCUGGUUGGCGGGGUAACGGCCCACCAAGGCGACGAUCAGUAGCCGGACUGAGAGGUUGGCCGGCCACAUUGGGACUGAGACACGGCCCAGACUCCUACGGGAGGCAGCAGUGGGGAAUAUUGGGCAAUGGGCGCAAGCCUGACCCAGCAACGCCGCGUGAAGGAAGAAGGCUUUCGGGUUGUAAACUUCUUUUCUCAGGGACGAAGCAAGUGACGGUACCUGAGGAAUAAGCCACGGCUAACUACGUGCCAGCAGCCGCGGUAAUACGUAGGUGGCGAGCGUUAUCCGGAUUUACUGGGUGUAAAGGGCGUGUAGGCGGGACUGCAAGUCAGAUGUGAAAACCAUGGGCUCAACCUGUGGCCUGCAUUUGAAACUGUAGUUCUUGAGUACUGGAGAGGCAGACGGAAUUCCUAGUGUAGCGGUGAAAUGCGUAGAUAUUAGGAGGAACACCAGUGGCGAAGGC